AUGGCGUUACCCCCGUAGGCUGACAAACACGCUUCACUCAGACUGCCGGCGUGGGUGAGAGGAAUUUCCUAUCCUUGAAAGCGCGAGCAGUUAAGGAGCUUCGUAGGCAGUCUUGAUCAGCAUCACUACGUUGCUGUGAGUACCAGCCAUUUCCGCAAAUAUCAGACAAUUCCACGGUGGCCAAAACGGUACUUUUUCGGGUAAGUAAGUCAUAUGCCCACAGACGGCAAUAUACCGGCCUAUAAACGGACUAGUACCCACAUGACCCACGUGCGGAAGAAGGAAUCAAAAGUUUAAAUAACACAGUUAUUACAUUGAUAACAGUAAUGGAUCAAUUCAGGCUGAAGCCUAUAGUAAUCGGAUUUUAGCUGUUUAUAAGUUGUAAAUCUGUUAUCGCUUGUGAAGUGGUCAAGAUUAAGAUGACAGUGAAACGUUUUUAAGUUUAAACCACGAAGGUCGUGAAACUCGUGGAACAAGGCUGCACAUCGUUCCGUGUCUCCUAACAAGAGCUGUCUUCAGGUUGAUGUCAACGGGUUUCUUUAGGUGGAGAUCUAUGAGGUCGUAAUGCAUAUCGUUCAUCUGAAGGUACCGUACAGGCAUCUGUGUUUCUACCAAACAGAAUCAGUGUUGCCGCAAUGCGCAGACAAGGAGUCAAUGGCAAGAUCGAAGCGGCCAUUGGCAGAACGGAGCUGACAUGAAAGAAAUUACUAGAGGGUCGUUUUUGGGGGUGGAGACUUGGAGUUCACCGACAAAGCCGCAAUAGUUCGACGAAGAAGAAUACUUCCACGGACAAAAUGUGCUGCGUGCCAAUAUUCUCAGGUGCCAAAAACAUCGUCCUAGUUCGGCAAAUGCAUGGAUCCGUUCACGCUACGGUGAAGCGCUGUCAUCCUCGGCACGCAAACGAUCCCGAACUUUGGAUGUCACAGUUUUAUAUGGCAGAUUUCGUUCGCCGGUUUAACGAUGUUCGUCCCUCGUGCAGUCGGCCUGGGGCAUCUGACCCAUGAAAACAAACAGGCUGUGCUCCACUGCUGGAGAUGCAUUGGUCACCUUGUCGGUAUGUCGGACACAUACAAUGUCUGUGCCACAGACUUUGUCGAAGAUGUUCAUUGAUGAAAUCCUUCGUCCAGCCAUGUUCAGCACAAAUUUUCAACGUUUCAAGUUGGCCAAUAGUGUUGUGGAAUCUAUCCUUGUCUCUGCGAACAAUAAAACCUGUAUAGUCAGCGCAUUCCACUUAC